AGAGUUUGAUCCUGGCUCAGGACGAACGCUGGCGGCGUGCUUAACACAUGCAAGUCGAACGAGAAUCUACUGAAAGAGUUUUCGGACAAUGGAUGUAGAGGAAAGUGGCGGACGGGUGAGUAACGCGUGAGGAACCUGCCUUGAAGAGGGGGACAACAGUUGGAAACGACUGCUAAUACCGCAUGACGCAUAGGGGUCGCAUGAUCUUUAUGCCAAAGAUUUAUCGCUUCAAGAUGGCCUCGCGUCUGAUUAGCUGGUUGGCGGGGUAACGGCCCACCAAGGCGACGAUCAGUAGCCGGACUGAGAGGUUGAACGGCCACAUUGGGACUGAGAUACGGCCCAGACUCCUACGGGAGGCAGCAGUGGGGAAUAUUGGGCGAUGGGCGCAAGCCUGACCCAGCAACGCCGCGUGAAGGAAGAAGGCUUUCGGGUUGUAAACUUCUUUUAAGAGGGAAGAGGAGAAGACGGUACCUCUAGAAUAAGCCACGGCUAACUACGUGCCAGCAGCCGCGGUAAUACGUAGGUGGCAAGCGUUGUCCGGAUUUACUGGGUGUAAAGGGCGUGCAGCCGGGUCUGCAAGUCAGAUGUGAAAUCCAUGGGCUCAACCCAUGAACUGCAUUUGAAACUGUAGAUCUUGAGUGUCGGAGGGGCAAUCGGAAUUCCUAGUGUAGCGGUGAAAUGCGUAGAUAUUAGGAGGAACACCAGUGGCGAAGGCGGAUUGCUGGACGAUAACUGACGGUGAGGCGCGAAAGUGUGGGGAGCAAACAGGAUUAGAUACCCUGGUAGUCCACACUGUAAACGAUGAAUACUAGGUGUGCGGGGACUGACCCCCUGCGUGCCGCAGUAAACACAAUAAGUAUUCCACCUGGGGAGUACGAUCGCAAGGUUGAAACUCAAAGG
rnacentral:rRNA from 1 species